UCCUUCUUAGCUCAAUUGGAGAGCGUGUCACUAGUAUGGUGCUUCCAAAAUUCUGUCUUACUAUGAUGACAAGGUCAGUUGUUCAAAUUAACUAGAAGGAA